UACGUAGGGUGCAAGCGUUGUCCGGAAUUAUUGGGCGUAAAGCGCGUGUAGGCGGCUUUGCAAGUCGGAUGUGAAAGCCCUCGGCUCAACCGAGGAAGUGCGUUCGAAACUGCAGAGCUUGAGUACCGGAGAGGGUAGUGGAAUUCCCAGUGUAGCGGUGAAAUGCGUAGAGACUGGGAAGAACACCAGUGGCGAAGGCGGCUACCUGGACAGGUACUGACGCUGAAGCGCGAAAGCUAGGGGAGCAAACAGGG
rnacentral:rRNA from 1 species